rnacentral:misc_RNA from 1 species
AUCAUCAUUCUACUUUUCUCCGCCAUUUUAUUUUUACGAUGAGAGAAUUAAAACAGCACUUGCAUGUACAUAAUUGCCUACAUAAAUAAUGUGAUUGACCGGUAACUUAGUAGAAUUAUUAUUAGCUUGAAUCUAACAUAUCUGCGUAAACUAUUACUUUUAGAAAAGUUCCUUUGACCAAUAGCCCCAAAAUGCCUGCUAUCAUGGCGCUAGUGUUUACUAUUAUGACCAUGUCACAGGAGUUUACAUGUAUUAAUGUUAUUGUUGAUGUUCAUUAAACUUUUAUUUCAAUAAAUCAAUUUUCUUGGCG